rnacentral:rRNA from 1 species
UGAGGAAUAUUGGUCAAUGGACGAGAGUCUGAACCAGCCAAAUCGCGUGAAGGAAGACUGCCCUACGGGUUGUAAACUUCUUUUGUACAGGAAUAAAAGACAUUACGUGUAAUGUAUUGCAUGUACUGUACGAAUAAGCAUCGGCUAACUCCGUGCCAGCAGCCGCGGUAAUACGGAGGAUGCGAGCGUUAUCCGGAUUUAUUGGGUGUAAAGGGUGCGCAGGCGGGAUUUUAAGUCAGCGGUGAAAUUUUCAGGCUCAACCUGAGAACUGCCGUGGAAACUGGGAUUCUUGAGUAUGGAUGAAGCAGGCGGAAUUCGUUGUGUAGCGGUGACAUGCUUAGAGAUAACGAGGAACUCCGAUUGCGUAGGCAGCUUACUAAGCCAUAACUGACGCUCAAGGACGAAAGCGUGGGGAUCAAA